rnacentral:lncRNA from 1 species
AUGAUAGUUAGAUGGGGGUAUAUGGGAUGGGUUAUGGGUUAUGGGGCUGCCAUUGGACGACCAGGUCAUCCUGCUCAGGGCCGGGUUCUGACGGAGCUGGUGUCGAAGAUGCGGGACAUGAGGAUGGACAAGACGGAGCUGGGCUGCCUCAGGGCCAUCAUCCUCUUUAACCCAGGGUCCUUAUGGGGUUAUGGGGUCUCUAUGGGGUCCUUAUGGGGUUAUGGGGUCACUAUGGGGUCCCUAUGGGGUCCCUAUGGGGUCCUUAUGGGGUUAUGGGGUCACUAUGGGGUCCCUAUGGGGUCCUUAUGGGGUCCUUAUAGGGUUAUGGGGUCACUAUGGUGUCCCUAUGGGGUCCUUAUAGGGUUAUGGGGUCCCUAUGGGGUCCUUAUGGGGUCCUUAUGGGGUUAUGGGGUCCCUAUGGGGUCCCUAUGGGGUCCUUAUGGGGUUAUGGGGUCACUAUGGGGUCCCUAUGGGGUCCUUAUGGGGUUAUGGGGUCACUAUGAGGUCCCUAUGGGGUCCUUAUGGGGUCCUUAUGGGGUUAUGGGGUCACUAUGGGGUCCCUAUGGGGUCCUUAUGGGGUCCUUAUGGGUUUAUGGGGUACCUAUGGGGUCCUUAUGGGGUCCUUAUGGGGUUAUGGGGUCCCUAUGGGGUCCUUAUGGGGUUAUGAGGUCCCUAUGGGGUCCUAUAGGUGUUAUAUGGUGUCCUUAUGGGGUUAUGGGGUCACUAUGGGGUCCCUGUGGGGUCCUUAUGGGGUUAUGGGGUCACUAUGGGGUCCUAUAGGGUCCUUAUGGGGUUAUGGGGUCCCUAUGGGGUCCUAUAGGGUCCUUAUGGGGUUAUGGGGUUCUAUAGGGUCCUUAUGGGGUCCUUAUGGGGUUAUGGGGUCACUAUGGGGUCCCUAUGGGGUCCUUAUGGGGUUAUUGGGUCCCUAUGGGGUCCUUAUGGGGUCCUUAUAGGGUUAUAGGGUCCCUAUGGGGUCCCUAUGGGGUCCUUAUAGGGUUAUGGGGUCCCUAUGGGGUCCCUAUGGGGUCCUUAUGGGGUUAUGGGAUCCCUAUGGGGUCCCUAUGGGGUCCUUAUGGGGUUAUGGGGUUCUAUAGGGUCCUUAUGGGGUCCUUAUGGGGUUAUGGGGUCACUAUGGGGUCUCUAUGGGGUCCUUAUGGGUUUAUGGGGUCACUAUGGGGUCCCUAUGGGGUCCUUAUGGGGUUAUGGGGUCACUAUGGGGUCCCUAUGGGGUCCUUAUGGGGUUAUGGGGUCACUAUGGGGUCCUUAUGGGGUUAUGGGGUCACUAUGGUGUCCUUAUGGGGUCCUUAUAGGGUUAUGGGGUCACUAUGGGGUCCCUAUGGGGUCCUUAUGGGGUUAUAGGGUNNNNNNNNNNNNNNUAUGGGGUCCUUAUGGGGUUAUGGGGUCACUAUGGGGUCCCUAUGGGGUCCUUAUGGGGUUAUGAGGUUAUGGGGUCACUAUGGGGUCCUUAUGGGGUUAUGGGGUCACUAUGGGGUCCCUAUGGGGUCCUUAUGGGGUUAUGGGGUCCCUAUGGGGUCCUUAUGGGGUCCUAAUGGGGUUAUGGGGUCCUAUAGGGGCUAUAUGGGGUUAUGGGGUCACUAUGGGGUCCCUAUGGGGUCCUUAUGUGGUUAUGGGGUCACUAUGGGGUCACUAUGGGGUCAUUUUUGGGGUUUCUUAAUGGGAUUUGAUCUUUAUUAAUGGGGUUUUGGGUAUAUAUGGGAUUUAUGGGGUUAUUUAUGGGAUUUAUGGGGUUAUUUAUGGGAUUUAUGGGGUAUAUAUGGGA